rnacentral:lncRNA from 1 species
GAACGGAGUCCGAAGCGAAACACGUCUGGACGCGGGGUGAAUCUCGUCUUGUUAGCGAAAAGAAAUCUCGUCGCCAGGUUUUUUAGAUUUGAAUGGAAAGCACCCUCCCCUGUACGUAUUAGUUAGGAAGUAGUGUUUUAACAGGAUAGGCAUGAUUUAAAAUUAAAUAAGUAAUCAGGAUAGGAAUGCCAAGGGGUGUUUCCGGCGGAUUUACGAGCCGAAUGUAUGAUGACCCUUUUCAAAUUUCAAGGGGUGUAGAACUUCUAGCUGGUCGACAGUCUCGAAAUUCAAGCUUCUGGAUUUCUUGCGAGAACAUGGUUCCUUCAAAAUUCGCUGAUCUAGCAUUGAUCGAAAACACAAACAUAUCCGUAGGUGCUCGUGGAUCGCUGUGACCAUUAUAGGAAAACAUGAUUUUUUAAAAAAAUUUCUUGAAAACACAUGUUUUUAAAAAAAUCGGUUAACAUUUGUUGAACUAUUGAAUUAGAAAAGGGACGUGCACCGGGUCGCCGGCUGGUCUUUUUAGAAGAUCCACUCGGUCACUAGUCGCCAGGUCUCACACCAUCGAGUGACCCAACGUCGUC